rnacentral:rRNA from 1 species
GAGGAAUAUUGGUCAAUGGACGGAAGUCUGAACCAGCCAAGUAGCGUGCAGGAUGACGGCCCUAUGGGUUGUAAACUGCUUUUGUAUGGGGAUAAAGUUAGGGACGUGUCCCUAUUUGCAGGUACCAUACGAAUAAGGACCGGCUAAUUCCGUGCCAGCAGCCGCGGUAAUACGGAAGGUCCAGGCGUUAUCCGGAUUUAUUGGGUUUAAAGGGAGCGUAGGCUGGAGAUUAAGUGUGUUGUGAAAUGUAGACGCUCAACGUCUGAAUUGCAGCGCAUACUGGUUUCCUUGAGUACGCACAACGUUGGCGGAAUUCGUCGUGUAGCGGUGAAAUGCUUAGAUAUGACGAAGAACUCCGAUUGCGAAGGCAGCUGACGGGAGCGCAACUGACGCUGAAGCUCGAAGGUGCGGGUAUCGAACAGGAUUAGAUACCCUGGUAGUCCGCACAGUAAACGAUGGAUGCCCGCUGUUGGUACCUGGUAUCAGCGGCUAAGCGAAAGCAUUAAGCAUCCCACCUGGGGAGUACGCCGGCAACGGUG